CCUACGGGUGGCAGCAGUGGGGAAUAUUGCGCAAUGGGCGAAAGCCUGACGCAGCGACGCCGCGUGAGGGAUGAAGGUCUUCGGAUCGUAAACCUCUGUCAGCAGGGAAGAACGGUCACUGUGCUAAUCAGCAGUGAAUUGACGGUACCUGCAAAGGAAGCACCGGCUAACUCCGUGCCAGCAGCCGCGGUAAUACGGAGGGUGCGAGCGUUAAUCGGAAUUACUGGGCGUAAAGCGCUCGUAGGCGGUAUGUCAAGUCAGGGGUGAAAUCCCCGGGCUCAACGUGGGAACUGCCUUUGAAACUGGCAAACUGGAGUGUGUGAGAGGAUAGUGGAAUUCCAGGUGUAGGAGUGAAAUGCGUAGAUAUCUGGAGGAACAUCAGUGGCGAAGGCGACUAUCUGGCACAUAACUGACGCUGAGGAGCGAAAGCGUGGGUAGCAAACAGGAUUAGAUACCCGAGUAGUC
rnacentral:rRNA from 1 species